rnacentral:rRNA from 1 species
CCUACGGGAGGCAGCAAUGGGGGAUAUUGGGCAACAGGGCAAAGCCUGACCCAGCAACGCCGCCUGAAGGAAGAAAGUCUUCGGAUUGUAAACUUCUNUAGAGCGACGAAGGACGUGAC